AUACGGGGGGUGCUAGCGUUAUUCGGAAUCAUUGGGCGUAAAGGGACGCGUAGGCGGUCUUUAAAGUCAGAUGUGAAAGCCCUCGGCUUAACCGAGGAAGUGCAUUUGAUACUAAAAGACUUGAGUAUGGGAGAGGGAAGCGGAAUUCCUGGUGUAGCGGUGAAAUGCGUAGAUAUCAGGAGGAACACCAGUGGCGAAGGCGGCUUCCUGGACCAAUACUGACGCUGAGGCGCGAAGGCGUGGGGAGC
rnacentral:rRNA from 1 species